rnacentral:rRNA from 1 species
ACAGAGGGGGCAAGCGUUAUUCGGAAUUAUUGGGCGUAAAGGGCGCGUAGGCGGCUUGGCAAGUGGAAGGUGAAAUCCCUCGGCUUAACCGAGGAACUGCCCUCCAAACUGCUUUGCUUGAGGCCGGGAGAGGUGAGUGGAAUUCCCAGUGUAGCGGUGAAAUGCGUAGAUAUUGGGAGGAACACCAGUGGCGAAGGCGGCUCACUGGACCGGUUCUGACGCUGAUGCGCGAAAGCGUGGGGAGCAAACGGGA